GGACCAUCAUGUCGGUCGUGCCUCGGUACGUACUGGUAUUGUUGGUUUCUCUCUUCUGACGAACCAUGAUGUCAUUUAUUUGGUGUUGUGGGGAAUCAGGACUGUUACUUUGAAAAAAUUAGAGUGUUUAAAGCAGGCUCACGCUAGAAUACAUUAGCAUGGAAUAAUGAAAUAGGACGUUUGAUUCUAUUUUGUUGGUUUUGGGAACCAAGUC
rnacentral:rRNA from 1 species